CUAGCCCGAUCCCCUCCACUCUCUCUUGAUCCCCACUCCCUCGUCUCCUCAACCUCAUGCCGCCAGGGGAGAGGCCCGCUGGAUCUCCAUCUCCCUGACUCCCUCCUCCCAUGAAGCCCGCAUUUGCCGCGCCGUCGGACCUUGCUGGCUGGAACCCCCUGCCUCUCCUUGCCCGCGCCUCGUGUGUCGUGAUGUGAGCUGCGCGUCUCAUGGCGGCAACCACCAUGGCCGACUGUUGGGAACGGCAUGGCGCACCGCUAGGAGCAGUGCCCCGCAUGCCCUGUUGACCCCUCGUCUGCACCCUUGUGGAUCCGCUCCGUGCUGCCUGGACCCAGCCGCCCUCGCCUCAAAUUCCCGCGCCGCCGGCCAUGACCAGCGCCUCCACUGCACCGGGCGUGCUCAUCUCCGUCGAGCAAGACGCACCCACGUUGACCCCAGGGGCGCCCGUGUGGGCCCCAUCUCCAGUGAUCACCUCCAAGGCCUAGCCUUGCUUCGCCAGGACCUGCCGCGCCAAGCCCAGCUGGCCGCAACCGUAGCCCAACCGGCUUCUGGCAAUGUCGGCCUAAUCGUCCAAUCGUUUUUUCACUUAUUAUUGGAUUGCGGGCUUAUUCCCAUAAUAGUGAAGGACUUUUUUUUUAUAAAAAUUACAUGACGGCGAACCCGACAAACUCAAUCCGUGCUUUAUUAUUAGGGAAAGAUAUAUGUGACAAAUUUUAUGUACCGCCGUGGUAGUUACCACCACUUAAGUUUUGUAUGUUGUAUGUGGUAUUUAUUAAAUUAAGGAGUAUGUAUGUGUAGUAUGUAGUAUAUAACAAUGUUUAGGUAGUAUAUAUACUACUUUUUAUA